AACCCGGGGAACUGAAACAUCUAAGUACCCGGAGGAAGAGAAAGAAACAUCGAUUCCGUAAGUAGCGGCGAGCGAACGCGGAAGAGCCCAAACCGUGAUGCGUGCAUCGCGGGGUUCGGACUGCAGAAGGGAUUCAGCAAUGACAGGAGAACGGCUUUGGAACAGCCGGCCAGAGAGGGUGAGAGCCCCGUAUCCAAAGUCAGAGCUGACCUGGCAGGAUCCAGAGUACCACGGGACACGGGAAACCCUGUGGGAACGAGCGGAGACCACUCCGUAAGGCUAAAUACUACUCAGUGACCGAUAGCGUAUAGUACUGUGAAGGAAAGGUGAAAAGAACCCCGGGAGGGGAGUGAAAUAGAACCUGAAACCGCAUACAUACAAACAGUAGGAGCCCCUGCAGUGGGGUGACUGCGUACCUUUUGCAUAAUGGGUCAGCGACUUACGUUUUGUGGCGAGCUUAACCGAGUAGGGGAGGCGUAGCGAAAGCGAGUUCGAAUAGAGCGAAGAGUCUCAAGGCGUAGACCCGAAACCAGAUGAGCUAUCCAUGGCCAGGUUGAAGGUGUGGUAACACACACUGGAGGACCGAACCGACUAGUGUUGCAAAAUUAGCGGAUGAGCUGUGGAUAGGGGUGAAAGGCUUAACAAAUCUGGAGAUAGCUGGUUCUCCCCGAAAACUAUUGAGGUAGUGCCUCGUGUAUUGCUCCAGGGGGUAGAGCACUGUUAUGGCUAGGGGGACAUGGCGUCUUACCAAACCAUGGCAAACUCCGAAUACUUGGAAGUAAGAGCACGGGAGACAGAGCACCGGGUGCUAACGUCCGGACUCAAGAGGGAAACAACCCAGACCGCCGUUUAAGGUCCCAAAUAUUGACUAAGUGGAAAACGAAGUGUGAAGGCUAAGACAGUCAGGAAGUUGGCUUAGAAGCAGCCAUCCUUCAAAGAAAGCGUAAUAGCUCACUGAUCGAGUCCUCAUGCGCGGAAGAUGUAACGGGGCUAAGUCAAUAACCGAAAGCGCGGAUUUGCAUGAAAGUGCAAGUGGUAGGGGAGCGUUCUGUAAGCCUGCGAAGGUGGUUCGAGAGGACUGCUGGAGGUAUCAGAAGUGCGAAUGCUGACAUGAGUAACGUUAAAGCGGGUGAAAAGCCCGCUCGCCGUAAGCCCAAGGUUUCCUGCUCUACGUUCAUCGGAGCAGGGUGAGUCGGCCCCUAAGGCCAGGCUGAGAAGCGUAGUCGAUGGGAAGCAGAUUAAUAUUUCUGCACCAUGUGCAAGUGCGAUGGGGGGACGGAGUGCGAAAGAUCAUCCGGGUGUUGGAUGUCCCGGUUUGUGAGUGUAGAAGGCCGACAGGCAAAUCCGUCGGCGGAUCUUCGUGACAAAGCAUCGAGGUUCUACGGAACCGAAGUGAUCGGAAGUGCUUCCAGGAAAAGCCUCUAAGCUUCAGCUUGCAUAUGACCGUACCGUAAACCGACACUGGUGGGCGAGUUGAAUAUACUCAGGCGCUUGAGAGAACUCGGGAGAAGGAACUCGGCAAAUUGACACCGUAACUUCGGGAUAAGGUGUGCCUUUGUAGCGUGAAGAGAGAAACACUCGGAGCGUGAAGAGGCCUCAGAGAAUCGGUGGCUGCAACUGUUUAUUAAAAACACAGCACUCUGCAAAGACGAAAGUCGACGUAUAGGGUGUGAUGCCUGCCCGGUGCUGGAAGAUUAAGUGAUGGGGUGAGAGCUCCUGAUCGAAGUCCCAGUAAACGGCGGCCGUAACUAUAACGGUCCUAAGGUAGCGAAAUUCCUUGUCGGGUAAGUUCCGACCUGCACGAAUGGCAUAAUGAUGGCCACACUGUCUCCUCCCGAGACUCAGUGAAGUUGAAAUGUUUGUGAUGAUGCAAUCUCCCCGCGGCUAGACGGAAAGACCCCAUGAACCUUUACUGUAGCUUUGCAUUGGACUUUGAACCGAUUUGUGUAGGAUAGGCGGGAGGCAGAGAAAGCGCAACGCCAGUUGUGCCGGAGCCGACGUUGAAAUACCGCCCUGAUUUGUUUGAGGUUCUAACCGCGACCCGUAAGCCGGGUCCGGGACCGUGCAUGGCAGGCAGUUUGACUGGGGCGGUCUCCUCCUAAAGGGUAACGGAGGAGUACAAAGGUACGCUAGGUACGGUCGGAAAUCGUGCUGAUAGUGCAAAGGCAAAAGCGUGCUUGACUGCGAGACCGACAAGUCGAGCAGAUGCGAAAGCAGGUCUUAGUGAUCCGGUGGCUCUGUAUGGAAGGGCCAUCGCUCAACGGAUAAAAGGUACUCUGGGGAUAACAGGCUGAUACCGCCCAAGAGUUCAUAUCGACGGCGGUGUUUGGCACCUCGAUGUCGGCUCAUCGCAUCCUGGGGCUGUAGCCGGUCCCAAGG
rnacentral:rRNA from 1 species